rnacentral:rRNA from 1 species
UUAAAUUGAAGAGUUUGAUCAUGGCUCAGAUUGAACGCUGGCGGCAGGCCUAACACAUGCAAGUCGAACGGUAACAGGAAGCAGCUUGCUGCUUUGCUGACGAGUGGCGGACGGGUGAGUAAUGUCUGGGAAACUGCCUGAUGGAGGGGGAUAACUACUGGAAACGGUGGCUAAUACCGCAUAACGUCGCAAGACCAAAGAGGGGGACCUUCGGGCCUCUUGCCAUCAGAUGUGCCCAGAUGGGAUUAGCUUGUUGGUGAGGUAACGGCUCACCAAGGCGACGAUCCCUAGCUGGUCUGAGAGGAUGACCAGCCACACUGGAACUGAGACACGGUCCAGACUCCUACGGGAGGCAGCAGUGGGGAAUAUUGCACAAUGGGCGCAAGCCUGAUGCAGCCAUGCCGCGUGUAUGAAGAAGGCCUUCGGGUUGUAAAGUACUUUCAGCGGGGAGGAAGGUGUUGUGGUUAAUAACCGCAGCAAUU